CUUCUUUUUCCACCGGAGCUUGCUCCACCGGAAAAAGAGGAGUGGCGAACGGGUGAGUAACACGUGGGUAACCUGCCCAUCAGAAGGGGAUAACACUUGGAAACAGGUGCUAAUACCGUAUAACAAUCAAAACCGCAUGGUUUUGAUUUGAAAGGCGCUUUCGGGUGUCGCUGAUGGAUGGACCCGCGGUGCAUUAGCUAGUUGGUGAGGUAACGGCUCACCAAGGCCACGAUGCAUAGCCGACCUGAGAGGGUGAUCGGCCACAUUGGGACUGAGACACGGCCCAAACUCCUACGGGAGGCAGCAGUAGGGAAUCUUCGGCAAUGGACGAAAGUCUGACCGAGCAACGCCGCGUGAGUGAAGAAGGUUUUCGGAUCGUAAAACUCUGUUGUUAGAGAAGAACAAGGAUGAGAGUAACUGUUCAUCCCUUGACGGUAUCUAACCAGAAAGCCACGGCUAACUACGUGCCAGCAGCCGCGGUAAUACGUAGGUGGCAAGCGUUGUCCGGAUUUAUUGGGCGUAAAGCGAGCGCAGGCGGUUUCUUAAGUCUGAUGUGAAAGCCCCCGGCUCAACCGGGGAGGGUCAUUGGAAACUGGGAGACUUGAGUGCAGAAGAGGAGAGUGGAAUUCCAUGUGUAGCGGUGAAUGCGUAGAUAUAUGGAGGAACACAGUGGCGAAGGCGCUCUCUGGUCUGUACUGACGCUGAGCUCGAAGCGUGGGAGCAACAGAU
rnacentral:rRNA from 1 species